AGAUGAAUCAUUAUACCGGCUUCGUUAGGCCUAAACUGAUGUCACUGCCAACUGAAGCUCCUCUGAUAAUACAAAACAUUACCAGUUAUCCUUCAAACUACACCUCCAGUCCUCCAGUGUCUGGAUGCUCCACGGCUGCUCAAUCCAGACUGAAUGUCUUCUCAGCAAGACAGAAAUACCCAUGCAGUCCGAGCGUUGCAGAGUCAAGGGAUCUAAAUCCUCACAGUGUCAACUCUAUUACUGAAGGGCCUCUGGUUCCAUUGUUAGCCAAAAAUCGCUCAGUAGUCACCAACCGUACCUCACAAAGCCAUGUGUCUGACAGUGGUAUUUCUGACCGUCAUUUCUUAUUUGAUAAACGAUGGAGAAAUGGAACUUACAUCACUAAUGAUGAUGUGCUGGUGAACCACAACUCUACAAAUCCACUCUCUCAGGAGUUCCAUGUUUCUCGCUCUCAUAAUUUAACCAGAUUUGCCCACCGCAAAGAACUCUGCCCGCGUGACCCAAGACCACUUAUUUGCGGGUCUGAUUAUCUGACCUCAUUUCCAUCAGUUCUGUUACCAGCCUCUACCCUGUCUAUCAGUGGACGACUCUGUAUAUCACAAAACUAUAAAAACGGAUUAAGGAUAAAAAACAGAGCGCACAAUCUCUUCUCUGAUGGUGCUAACAACAGAACCUGUGGGCCGGUUAUUGUUUUUCAGCCCAGUCGUACCCUGAUCCACAUCUGGGUGCCUCGGCCUCUUUUGUUCAGAGGCUCACAGAGAUUUCCUCUCUGGAAGCAGAGACAGUCCGGCAGGAGAGGAUGAAGAGACUCAAAAAGAUCAAUAGGCAGGACUCUUAAUCGGAGUUCAUUAGCCAAAGAGGAAACACUUGACUCCUGAAAUCACAACUGUGCCAAGAUGGAGUAAAUAAAGUCAAGGAGAAGAACUUGAGAGGUACAGAGUGUUGUAGCGCAGCCACUAUAUUAUAACUGAAAUAAAAUGAAAACGAUGGCUCUAGCAUUUAUAUUUCUUAUGUAAAACUAUCAGGGAUUGUUGAAUUUAAAGUGUAUUCGCCAAGAAUAACUGCCUUAACAUUGCAUUUAUAUAUGUGUUACAUAUAUAAAAAAACUUUAUGCUUUGUGUACUGCCUUUAACUUUAAGUAAAUAUGAUCAUAUCCAAAAAACAUAUUGUUGUCAAAGAAACAAUUUGCUUCAACGUUAUCUAAAAGUUAAGAACUGCAUUAUUAAAUAGU
ensembl:lncRNA